UUAGUAUGCUCCCAGACGUGAAAACGAGAUAUGCGAGCACAGACGUGUUUCUCACGAGUUCUUUCAUUCUUAUAAUUUUCGCGGAACAUUUAUUUUAGCUUUGCUGUGGUUCUUUUAAGACAAAGUGAAUUAUUUCUACUGAUAGAAAUAAGCAGUUCGAAUAUUUGACUCUCUUGACUGCAUACAUAAAUCACAAUUAAAUGCAGUUUAUAGACCUAAACCGUUGAACUCGAAGAAAUUUAUUUCUAGAAAUUAAAACUGGAAAUUAAAUAAAUAGAGGAUUUUCAAUUGGAUGCUGUUCUUCAGUUUCUAAACUACAUAUAUUUUUGCGAUAGUGUCUCGACCGACAUGUUGACAUUUGAUUCAUCGCGUAAAAGACCGAAUAUGAGUAUGCUAUCUAUUUCAGGCAUAGAAAUAUGGGCGAAUAAGAAUUUACAAGGAAUUGACUAUAUACUAAAGGAGCUUAAUUCUAAAUUAUCUUCUAAUAUGCUAUUGAUUAUAAACGAUAGAUAUUGUCAGAUGUUGAAAUCUUUGCGGAUUCAAAAAAAUUUGUUUGAAACAAUAAAAAUUCUUAUACCUGAUAUAAAGAAGGGUUCAGUCGACAUUGAAAAAAUAUACUUAGAAUUAAAGAAGAUUUUAUUUUCUCUUAGUGAAUCAUGUAACGAAGUGGUCGGUCAGGCUCAAAAACUGAAAAUGGAGAUUUUACAAUUACAACAGAAAAACAAUAAUUGAAUUUAUAUAUAUAUAAUGAUCUACGCAAAAUGAAAAAGACAAUGAAGUUGAGGACUUGUCAUCUCAGGUAUUACCGAACAACUUAACAAUUUUCCUAUUAUAAUUAUAAGCAGCAUUUUACAAAAGCUAAUAUUGUAAUAUUUAAAUAUCUAUAUGAUCUGUCAUUUUUGUGAAAGCUUGUCAAAAUUUAUCUCGAAAAACAGACUCCAAAGCAUUAUCAUCGCUUUCUUUGCAUUCUCCUUGCGGUAAAAAUUUAUAUGGGUAGAAAAAUAAAGAAGAAACAUCUUUAUUUUGCCGAGAUUUUUACUUUAUUUGAGAUCGAAUAAAUCUACAUUAAUAAAAGAUUCUCUAUUAUCGCGACAAUUAAAAUUGACCGUUUGUAAAUUUAUCAGCAAUAACAACUAGUUACGUAUUUAGUAUAAAAACAAUGUUGUCUAUGACAUUGUCUCCAUAUGUUUCAUUUCACCCAUUAAAAUACGUUACCAUGAGGAUUUAUGUAUUAGAUCAUAAUUAUGCAGUCUCAAUUUCUAAUAAUGCACGUAAUGCCAAUAGAUUUAAUUUUCGUAAAAGGACAAACAGAGAUAAAUUAUAAAAUAUGCAAUAGAAUCGCUCAAAAGUAUAAAAUCUUCUUUUAGGAAUAUCAUGCAUACACUGAAUGUUAUAAUUAAGAUAAGUUAAGAAUAAGUAUAAUUAAGAUAAAUAAGCAAUGUUGUAAUUGAGAUCAAGCUUCAUAUUUUCUGUAUACAUUUUUUUCUACAGACAUGUCAUAUUAUUAUUAUAUAUUUUUUUUAUUUUACUUCUAAGUAUUACUGCGGCAAAGUCUCAUUCAAUAUAGGAAGCGCGAAAAAAUGUAGCUAUAGAGAACAGACCUGCCGCGAAUUCGUGACAGCAACAGUAUCGUUCACGAGGAUGUGCCGCGAGUAUUCGAUUUUUCCCAGAAUCGCCGGCCAAACUAUUUCUCUCACCGAUCAAAAUUGAAAUUCCGCUCGGGUACAGAUCUGUCUGUGCUGUUUAGCGGGACCUCGUUGUCCCUUUGAAGACGCUUCGUGCUUGCAACUGUAGCAGAUUCGGGGGCAAAAUUCUCGGUUACACCUGCAGCAAUAUAUCGUCGCGUUGCUCGGGUCAAUCGUUUGCCUCAUCAGGCGGACAUAGCAACCCCCGGUCGGCGACGUUGCUUGUUAGCGGGGCGCCUUCGUGAACGAGCACAUGCUCUAACCCGCUCGAUGGAUGUGUCAUAUAUUAAACUGUAUAUAUAUUUGCUAUAUAUAUAUAUAUAUAUAUAUAUAUAUAGCGCCCAUAUGUGCGCUUUCACGAUCGACCAUGCAAGCUCGGCUAUCAGCGCCGCUUCGUUCCAGACAUUGCCCUUGAUGCACCAAGUACAUAGUUGAUCAUUUAUGUACAUAUAUUAGAGAUAUAUCUCUUAAUGUAUAAAUUAGCAUGAAUAGAUGUAUUACAAGCGGAUGUCUUAAUUUCGUUUAGAAUAGAUAUUGCGCGAAACGGAUUUUUAGCUAGAAAGAGGAAAGAACAUCAUAAAAUUGGCAUCAUAAUAUGUUCACCCUGCAUACUUUAUAUAUUUUUCAGUUAUUUGCGACGAAGAGAAGGUGCACUUUUUUGUUUAUUAUAUGAAUUCUAAUAAAAAUCAAUUUUCUUAAAUUUA